rnacentral:rRNA from 1 species
CAGUCGCCGCGGUAAUACGUAGGGUGCGAGCGUUAAUCGGAAUUACUGGGCGUAAAGCGUGCGCAGGCGGUUCGUUAAGACAGAUGUGAAAUCCCCGGGCUUAACCUGGGAACUGCAUUUGUGACUGGUGAGCUAGAGUAUGGCAGAGGGGGGUAGAACUCCACGUGUAGCAGUGAAAUGCGUAGAGAUGUGGAGGAAUACCGACGGCGAAGGCAGCCCCCUGGGCCAAUACUGACGCUCAUGCACGAAAGCGUGGGGAGCAAACAGGAUUAGAUACCCCCGUAGUCCCUGUCUCUUAUAC